rnacentral:rRNA from 1 species
UACGUAGGGUGCAAGCGUUAUCCGGAAUUAUUGGGCGUAAAGAGCUCGUAGGCGGUUUGUCGCGUCUGCUGUGAAAACCCGAGGCUCAACCUCGGGCCUGCAGUGGGUACGGGCAGACUAGAGUGCGGUAGGGGAGAUUGGAAUUCCUGGUGUAGCGGUGGAAUGCGCAGAUAUCAGGAGGAACACCGAUGGCGAAGGCAGAUCUCUGGGCCGUAACUGACGCUGAGACGCGAAAGCGUGGGGAGCGAACAGG